rnacentral:lncRNA from 1 species
GAGGUUCGGGCGCCCAGGGCCCCUAGCUCUCCCGGGGUUUUCCUGCCGCAGCCUUGGGGGCAGCCUGUUUCGGGGGAAAGCAUCUUCCCCGAGAACUCUCGGGUUGACCUUCAGCUCGGCCAGGCCGCCCCUGGGGACCCUUCCCGGCCCCGCAGAGCCCACUUAGCUCUCGUUCCCGGACCCAGCACAGAGGUCAGGAGGUUUCAUCCCUUGCCCUGUCGUCUGGUGGGGGUGGGGGGUGGGGGUGGCCCGAAGCCCACCUCCUGCCCCGCGGUAAGGACGGGGCACGGGCCUGGGAGGCACCAGACACGAGGAAGGUCGCUUGCAUCUGCCCCUGGAGACGGGACCUGGGUGUUGACUGGGGACAGGGGUGGCCAGGGGGGCUUCUCACACCGGGAGGAAACUGUCGUCCCUGCAACCGGUAAGCAGGACCCUGAAGGACACGGAGCAGGGGAGAGCGGCGGCUCACAGGACAGGCCCGGGCUGGGGGAGAGGCCCUGCGGGGGGUGGGGGGGCGGGUGCAGGUCAGUGGGACUCCAUCAGCACCUCCCGGGCUCCUCCCGUGAAGGUGCCUCCAUAGGGGCUGUGGCUCCCCCACCUGCCCCAGCCUGCGGGGUCCCUCCACCCUCUGCGGGGUCCCUCCCUCCUCUGCAGGGUCCCUCCCUCCUCUGCGGGGUCCUUCCAUCCUCUGUGGGGUCCCACCAUCCUCUGCGGGAUCCCUCCACCCUCUGCGGGGUCCCUCCAUCUUCUGUGGGGUCCCUCCACCCCCAUUCCAACCAGCCCCAGCCUGCGGGGUCCCUUACCCUCUGCGGGGUCCCUCCACCCUCUGCGGGGUCCCUCCAUCCUCUGUGGGGUCCCACCAUCCUCUGCAGGGUCCCUCCAUCCUCUGCGGGGUCCCUCCACCCCCAUCCCAACCAGCCCCAGCCUGCGGAGUCCCUUACCCUCUGCGGGGUCCCUCCACCCUCUGCAGGGUCCCUCCACCCUCUGCGGGGUCCCUCCACCCUCUGCAGGGUCCCUCCAUCCUCUGCGGGGUCCCUUCACCCCCAUCCCAACCAGCCCCAGCCUGCGGAGUCCCUUACCCUCUGCGGGGUCCCUCCACCCUCUGCGGGGUCCCUCCAUCCUCUGUGGGGUCCCACCAUCCUCUGCGGGGUCCCUCCACUCUCUGCGGGGUCCCUCCACCUUCUGUGGGGUCCCUCCACCCUCUGCGGGGUCCUUCCAUCCUCUGUGGGGUCCCUCCACCCUCAUCCCUCAGGCCUGAGAAGCCCGAGAGGUCUGUCUUUAUAA